rnacentral:snRNA from 1 species
GGAUAAGAGAGUGAUCUAGCUGUGACAUCUGUCACCCUGGGCUGACUUGGCUGUUCUAGCUGACUAGGCAGGCAACCCUUUCCUCCCUCAAUGCUCCAUGUGUGUCCCUCACAAAGUGGAGCGCUCAGAUAGCCAUCCUCUGACAGAGGAGGACCAUUCCAUAACCAAAGGUACAGGAGUUGCUGCACUUCCCUGCUAGAACCUCCAAAUAAGUUCUCAAAACUUAUCUUGCUAAAUAUAACAAAGGUUAUAAUCAAUCAGAUGCUAUGAUUU